rnacentral:rRNA from 1 species
UUGGGAAUCUUGCACAAUGGGGGAAACCCUGAUGCAGCGACGCCGCGUGGAGGACGAAGGGUCUAGGCUCGUAAACUCCUUUUCUCAGGAAAGACUUAGGACGGUACCUGAGGAAUAAGCACCGGCUAACUACGUGCCAGCAGCCGCGGUGAGACGUAGGGUGCAAGCGUUGUCCGGAUUUACUGGGCGUAAAGCGCGCGUAGGCGGUCUGUUAAGUGUAGAGUGAAAGCUCCGGGCUCAACCCGGAAAUUGCUCUGCAUACUGGCAGACUUGAGGGAUGCAGAGGUUUGUGGAAUUCCUGGUGUAACGGUGAAAUGUGUUGAUAUCAGGAGGAACACCCAUGGCGAAGGCAGCAAACUGGGCAUCAUCUGACGCUGAGGCGCGAAAGCGUGGGUAGCAA